UACGGGGGGGGCAAGCGUUGUUCGGAAUUACUGGGCGUAAAGGGCUCGUAGGCGGCCAACUAAGUCAGACGUGAAAUCCCUCGGCUUAACCGGGGAACUGCGUCUGAUACUGGAUGGCUUGAGUGUGGGAGAGGGAUGCGGAAUUCCAGGUGUAGCGGUGAAAUGCGUAGAUAUCAGGAGGAACACCUGCGGUGUAGACGGCUUUCUGGACCAUUACUGACACUGAGACACGAAAGCGUGGGUAGCAAACAGG
rnacentral:rRNA from 1 species